UGAGGGCCGGGGCCUAGGGAGGGGCGGUGUCGUAGGGCGGAGCCCGGAGCUCGGCCCCUGACGAGCCCGAACUCGUCAACUUCCUGUCGGUACUUGAAGAAGCGGAGCCAGGGCUGAGAUCCCGAAGGCGGGCGAGGUCUGGGAUGGGGCGGGGCCUAUGGGAGCGGGGCUGAAGCCCUGGGCCCGGCAGAGGAAGGUCGAGAUGGACCAUGUUGGGCCCCUUCUCUCCCCGCCCCCAGGCCGCAGUUCGGGGGCCACGCCCCGGCGUGCUCGGGUCACCGCGGGAAGCCCUUGAACCCCCUGGCGCCCGGCACCCACGUGCGGUAACCGCGGCUCCUCGAGAGCUCCAGGGAUGCGGAUCUACAGUAAGGGCUGUGGCCAGAUGAAUGAAUGCACAUUUUUUAGUGGGCAGAAAGAUGUUAGAAUUCAUGAAUUAGAAUAAGCACAAAGGAGGGCGAGAGGGGAGGCCGUGGAAGCCGCAUUCCUCCCCUUGCCUUGGGCGCCCACCCCCGAAGGGGCGCGUCCCCUCCCUGCUCCACUGCACGUGGGUGUUUAACCAGGGGAUAUCCAGUGCCUCAAGCACCACGACCCGGGAGAAAACUGAGUUGAGAAGGCCUUGGGGAUGAAGGUGAGAAAUUCGAGAAUCCCCGGAGAUAACACAUCAGCAAAUAGUGCGCAGGCAGAACAAGCUGUUGGAGGUGAGAGACACAGAGCAGAGAAGCACCCGCACCUGGAGAGUCAGGAGGGCCUCACAUCAGAACGCCUGAGCAAAUACAGUUUUGAAGGAUACUAAUUUUUUAAAAAGUUCAUUCACAUGAGUUAGACAAAGAGAAAGAAGCAGGACAUUCUAGGAAGAAGGAACGGCCCAGGCAAAAGCGACGCGUACAUUGGCGUGGGUCCAUUCAAGAAUUGUGCCCACAAUAUACCAGGCACUUGUCCAGACCUGCAUCGUCCAAUGCCCACCUCGACCUCCCAAAGUGUUGGGAUUAGAGGCGUGAGCCACCGCGCCCUGCCUGCAUGUGGCUAUUGAGAUGUGCUGUAUGAUACACACCGGACUUUGAAGACUCAGUGUGAAAAAUAAAAAGAAUUUUAAGAGGGGUGGGGGUCGAGGGGAGGCAGAGCAGUAGGACAAAUAGCUAAUGCACGCAGGGCUUAAAACCUAGACAACAGGUUGAUGGGUGCAGCAAACCACCAUGACACAUGUUUAUCUAUAUAGCACCUACAUGUUCUGCACUUGUAUCCUGGAACUUAAAAUUAGAAAAAAAAAAUAAUAAAAGCCAACAUGGCAUUCAUUACUGCCAAAAAAAUUAAAACACAUUGUUAAUUUUG
rnacentral:lncRNA from 10 species